GGCAGGCCUCCUUGAGCUGUGGUGGGCUCCACCCAGUUGGAGCUUCCUAAGCAAGCCUGGGCAAUGGCGGGCGCCCCUCCCCCAGCCUCGCUGCCGCCUUGCAGUUUGAUCUCAGACUGCUGUGCUAUCAAUCAGUGAGACUCCGUGGGCGUAGGACCCUCCAAGCCAGGUGCCGGAUAUAAUCUCGUGGUGCGCCGUUUUUUAAGCCCGUCGGAAAAGCGCAGUAUUCGGGUGGAAGUGGCCCGAUUUUCCAGGUGCGUCCGUCACCCCUUUCUUUGACUCGGAAAGGGAACUCCCUGACCCCUUGCGCUUCCCAAGUGAGGCAAUGCGUCACCCUGCUUCGGCUCGCGCACGGUGCGUGCACCCACUGACCUGCGACCACUGUCUGGCACUCCCUAGUGAGAUGAACCCUGUACCUCAGAUGGAAAUGCAGAAAUCACCCGUCUUCUGCGUCGCUCAUGCUGGGAGCUGUAGACUGGAGCUGUUCCUAUUCGGCCAUCUUGGCUCUUCCCCCGUUUUACAAUUUAAAGGUAAAGACCUUCACAAUCGGGAACCCGUAGAUUGGAUCUUCUGAAAACAUCAGAGAAAGACUAUCUUUGCCAUCCACACUACAGUAAAACUUUGGAGCCUUGAACCUUGGAUUUAUAAUCUCACAACUGAGAAGGGUCCCUCCAUACUCCUGGAACUGUACACCCAUUGGAACUCUUAAGGUAAAACUAACCAGGAAAGUUUCUCCCCAGAAAAAGAUGGCAUCCUUGAUGUGAACAGCUUUUCCCAAGAUCACAGGUCAAAACUUCUACUAUCAUGAGACUCUUACCUUUGAAUAUUUUUACCUUGUUUAUGCCUCUAUGAGCAACAGAAAUGAAAAGUGGGUCUAUAAUGUGCACUUAUAGGGUAUAAUUUUAUUUGUGAAGGAUUUUGCGGGAAGCCAGCCUUAUACAUAAAUAAACUUAUACUUUAAUAGAUAAAAGAUGAAGGCCCAAGGUGGGUGAGAAACUUUAGUGGUACAUAUGUUGACUCAUAAUCAGUCAAAACUCCUCUUAACCCACAUCAUGGAUUAAAGAGAACAUUGCCAGGAGGCCUUCACUCUUCUAGAAGGACAUAAUUUGUUAGGUCCUUUUUCCAUGGUUUAGAAUACAAGAGGCAAUAAUUAGAAAUGUCUCCCUCUUAAUAGGCAUGGGUUCAAAUAAGGCAAACGUGGAGCUGUAGCCAAUCUCGCUGUUUGUGUACCUCACUUCUGAUUCCUGUGUGUCACUUUAACAUUUUUGUCUAUACAUUUUUUCUGACCAGGAGACACCCCUGGAGUCUGUGAAUCUGCUGUGAUUCUGGGGGCUGCCCGAAUCAUGAAUCAUUCAUUGCUCAAUUAAACUCCUUUAAGUUUAAUUUGGCUGAAGUUUUUCUUUUAUCACACCCUUGCCCCAUGAGCCAGGGAAAGGGCAACUGAGGCCGCAGUAUUUUCAGUGGCACCAAGGUACAC
rnacentral:lncRNA from 1 species